rnacentral:rRNA from 1 species
GAUGAACGCUGGCGGCGUGCUUAACACAUGCAAGUCGAACGAAGCACUUAUGCGUUUUCGGACAAGUGAGUGACUGAGUGGCGGCCGGGUGAGUAACGCGGGGGUAACCUGGCUCAUACAGAGGGCUGAUUGCUGGAAACGGCUGCUAAUACAGCAUAAGCGCACAGUAUCGCAUGCUACGGUAUGAAAAACCCCGGUGGUAUGAGAUGGACCCGCGUCUGAUUAGCUAGUUGGUGGGGUAAUGGCCCACCAUGGCGACGAUCAGUAGGCGGCCUGAGAGGGUGACCGGCCACAUUGGGACUGAGACACGGCCCAAACUCCUAAGGGGGGCAGCAGUGUGGAAUAUUGCAAAAUGGGCGAAAGCCUGAUGCAGCGACGCCGCGUGAGCGAAGAAGUAUUUCGGUAUGUAAAGCUCUAUCAGCAGGGAAGAAUAAUGACGGUACCUGACUAAGAAGCACCGGCUAAAUACGUGCCAGCAGCCGCCGUAA